rnacentral:misc_RNA from 1 species
ACCGCACGUGAGAUCGCGCAACUAACAUAACAGAUAUCUUCUCUUAGCUGUGCAUUAGUUUGUUUUUAAUAGCUUCAAAAGGAUUUCUUUUCGCUAUUUAUUAGAUGUGCAAGAUCAUCAGGGAAGGUCUUUACAAACUGAAACCAUAACCUUGUUCUAAUCUCGACUCUACACUGUUGCUGUGGAAACGGUGACUUCUGUGAAUCCACCGCGAUGAUAUUGUGGUGGCUUCUGGUAACAAUCAACUGGGGACCAGUUUAUGGUGAAAACCACCAGCCAGCUCUACGAUUUGUGAUAGAGCCUCCAUAUCGGGUUGAUUUCUACAACUCCAACGGGACUGUUAUUCCUUGUUCCGCAUCAGGAGAGCCUUUACCUAUCACCGUAAACUGGGAGUCACAUGAUGGUGCGUAUGUGACAAAUAUUACGGGACUCCGGAGCGUUAGGCCGGAUGGCAAGCUCGUUUUCCCACCGUUUUCAGCCAAGGAUUACCGCCAGGAUAUCCACGCCACCACGUACAGGUGCGUACUGUCCAACUCCGUGGGAAAGAUAUCAAGCAGAGACGUUCAUGUUUUAGCAGUGGUUCACCAGGAUUACAAUGUUCAGGUUGUAAAUGGAUAUUCAAUUCAAGGUAACAUAGCAGUAUUGAGGUGUAACAUUCCGAGUUUCGUUAAGGAUUACGUCACAGUGACAUCAUGGAAGAGAGGGGACAAUCUGAAGAUUAUAUCUGAUUUUGAGACAGGAGGACGCUACCUGGUCUUUCCAACGGGGGAGCUACACAUCCAAAAUGCUUGUGCUAAAGAUGGAUUCACUACUUACAGUUGUACUACAAGAAAUAGCAUGAGGGGAGAAGUGAAAUCCAGUAGAUCGUUUGGCAAGUUAGUGGUAUCAGAUGACAAAAGUAACAGGCCGCCAAGAAUCAACCACAGUCAAACUCGAGUGGGCAUUGAGAUUGGUCAAGAUGUGGUUCUUCCCUGCGCUGCACAAGGAUUUCCUCCUCCAAUUUACAUGUGGUACCGGUACACAAAUGACAUUUACCCUAAGACGGUCCCUGUAGUUUAUGAUGCUCGUUUGGUUAAGAUAGGAGGAUCUUUAUUAUUACGAAAAGUGACACCAGAGGACUCGGGGAAAUAUGUUUGUUUGGUGAAAAAUAAUAAUGGACAAGAUAAAACAGAAAUAAACCUGACAGUAAGAGAGAACCUUCACGUCAGUGUAGUUCCUGUGGUACACACCGUUGACGUUGGCAAGUCUGCUGUCUUCCAGUGCAACGUUUCGGGACAGCCAGUGACUUUUCUCACGUGGAAGAAGGAUCACGAGCACCUAACACACAUAAACAGGAGAGUCCAUUUUGUGUCCGAAACAGUUCUUGAAAUACGUCAUGUCCAAAGACAAGAUAAAGGUCUUUACCAGUGCUUUGUGUGUAAUGACAAGGAUUGUGCUCAAGGGACAGCUGAACUCAAACUAGGAGAUAUUACCCCAAUAUUAAAGGAAUCCUUCAGAUCUGUGACCCUGGAACCUGGAUCCAUCUUAUCUCUGAAGUGCAUAGCAUCCGGAAACCCACUUCCUGAAGUCCGAUGGACCCUGGACGACUAUCCUAUACCUGGACACAUUCGAUUUUCCGUGGGUGACUUUGUGACUUCCAAAGCAGAAGUAGUAAGUUACGUUAAUGUUACGCACGUCCGGGUAGAAGAUGGUGGCUACUAUAAAUGCCAGGCAACAAAUGACGUUGGAAGUGUCUUUAACCGAGAAAAAAUUAAUGUCAUUGGACCACCGUUCGUCCGACCGAUGAAGAACACGACAGCUGUGGAAGGAAGAACAUUUUACACAAGAUGUCCAGCUUCAGGCUAUCCUGUAGAAGAAAUUAGCUGGGAACACAAUGGCAGACGAAUACCUUACAAUCACCGCCAGAGGGCUUUCAGUAAUGGAAGCCUAAUCAUCAGAAAUGUAGACCAGCGUAGUGAUGAAGGAGAAUAUUCAUGUACAGCACGGAAUCAAAGGGGUCAGCGAGGUCACGGAAAAAUGUUUGUCGACGUCUUAAUUCCUCCUAAUAUUGAGCCGUUUACCAUCCCAACGGGGUUAGAGGACGGUUCUCGAUCUAGAAUUCUUUGUUCCGUUACCAAGGGAGAUACACCCAUCCGAAUCUCUUGGUUAAAAAAUGGAAAAGCAAUUCCUCCACAUCUCGGAAUCAUUGAAUCAGCAAUCGACGAAUUUUCUACGUUCUUGACAUUUCCACAACUUCAACUGAAACAUGGUGGCAACUAUACUUGCGUAGCCAAAAAUAUCGCAGCAUUAACCAAUUAUACUGCCCGAAUGGUAAUUUAUGCGCCACCUAGAUGGAUAAAUGAACCCAGGGAUACCUCGGCGAUCUUAAAUAGUGACGUCAUUAUUAAUUGUCAAGCUGAUGGAUUCCCCAAACCAGGAAUAACUUGGAGAAAGUCAAAAGGAUCUGUUUCCAGCGAGUACGUCUCCUUACGCACAAAUGCACACAUCAAUGUCGUAACGAACGGUUCUCUAGCCAUUCGGAAAGUCGAGAAAGAUGAUGCAGGUUUUUACAUGUGUCAGGCGAUCAAUGGCAUUGGGCCCGGAAUCAGCGCAGUGGUAAAGCUGCGUAUAAAAGUGCCUGCCUACUUUGUAAAUGAAUUUAAAGCAGAAACGAUUCGAAAAGGUCACCUUCUUCAAAUAACAUGUCAAAUAUUCGGCGACCACCCUUUGACGGUCCAGUGGAAAAAAGAUGGAGAAAAUUUAGACUUCCGGUUUGACAGAAGAUAUGAUAUUACUCAAUCGCUAACCAAUGAUGGAAUGAUGUCACAACUUCAAGUACUAUCGGCGGACAGAAGAGAUUCAUCGCUAUUCACUUGCUUAGGUUCCAACAAUUUUGGGAGCGAUGAAAUGAACAUACAAAUCAUUGUACAAGAACCUCCAGACAGGCCAUCCAACAUCAGAGUAGAGCAGGUGGAAAGUAGAAAGAUAACGUUGUCCUGGUCAGCCCCUUACUCAGGAAACAGCCCAAUCACACGCUAUAUUUUGAUAUACUGGAGUGAAGAAGAUCACGAUCACCAAAAUAGGAAGGAGAUGGUAAUUCCAGCUUCACAGACUAACGUGGUGGUGAAGGGUUUACUUCCGGCUACUGAAUACCACUUCCAUCUAUUGGCUGAGAACGCUGUGGGUCGGAGCGAUUUAAGUGAGGAGAUUACAGCAACCAGUAAUAUAGAAGUACCUGGUGGUCCUCCUCAAGACGUGAGGGUGGAGGUUCUAGGAUCACAACUAGUGAGAGUAACAUGGAAGUCACCUGAACCUCACCUUACUCAUGGUCCAAUAAAGGGGUAUUAUGUGGGCUACAAGGUACAUAGGUCAUCCGAAGCUUACACGUACAAAACGAUGAACGCGAAUUUUCACGACGAAAAACUAACCUGCUUUUUGAAAAAUCUCAAAAAGCUAACUCGGUACAAAAUCAUCGUGCAAGCGUUCAACAUCAAGGGGGCUGGUCCGCCCUCUGACGAAGUUUUAUUUGUCACUUUAGACAAUGAUCCGCCGACUGCUCCCAAGCUUAAAGUGGCCUCUGUAUCGUUUACAUCCAUCCAAGUCACAUGGACUGUGCAGAGGUCCGAUAAUAUACCAAUUUCAGGUUUUAUUUUAAAUCACAAACGUGAUACCGAGAACUGGAUUAAGACACGCCUUCCUGAUGAUUCUCGGAUGUACACCUUCUACGGACUACAAUGUGGUACACGUUUUGAAUUCUUCAUUCUUGCCUUCAACGAUAUAGGAGAAAGUUUCCCUAGUAACACCAUUCAGGUGAAAACCAGGGGUGCAGCACCGUCUUCUCCUACUCAGCAUGCAUUUAUCAGUGUGAACGUGACGUCAGCUACUUUACACUUUAUGGAGUGGGAUAGUGGAGGCUGUCCAGUGUCCUAUUUUGUGAUCCAGUAUAAAGCAGAAGUUAGCAAGGACUGGAUAGUUGUCAGUGAACGGAUCUUUCCCCAAACGCUCACGUACAUAAUAGGUGGACUGACUCCAGCCACGUGGUACCAGCUACGUGUCGUCGCUCACAAUGACGCUGGCUCAACUAGAGCUGACUACAGCUAUGUUACUCUACCGUUAUCAAGUCAGACGUCGUCUACGGCGACAUCCAACUCCCUUCCUUUUUACACUAACCUCGCUAUCAUCAUCCCUGUGAUAGUUGCCUGUGUUAUUUUGGCUGUAGUUGUCGUCAUUGUAUGUAGUGUUACUCGUAGAAGACAAGGAAGAAGAGACACUAGAGGGAUGCAGAAAGAAUUCACCACGGAAUCCGUUCCCAUGUCUGAGGUCGAGAGUAAGCCUACAACAGACUGUGUUUACAGCAGACCUAAAAGUUGUCUCAACUACCCGUCCCCCUAUGCUUCUAACUGUGUUCCGUUCGACCAUCGUCAUAACUUGAGGAGUGAAGACAGCAGAAUCGAAAGGCACUCUACAGUUGACAGCAAAAGGAUUUAUGACGUUCCUUUUGCUAUGAGAGAGCCCGCCCACUCCAGUGGACUUGAUUACAGAGAGAGGAGAAAUAGCCCUGUACAUGAAACCAGCCGAGCACACUCGCAUGACAGCAACUCUAUGUACAGUUUCCCAGCAGGAAGGCCAAUUUCCCAGCCUAUGUUACGAAAUUACACGACCCACUUAUCUCAUUCCUGGUGUAACAGCGAUAUGGAUGACAACUUGACAGUUAACUUGCCCUACGAGAAGACGUCAUAUGCCACUAGGUGGCACGGAAGUUCUAAACAAGAUACACUAGCGAUCCGAAGGUCGAAGCUAGGUACUUCCACGCCCCCAGAAUACCUGACCUAGCGUUUGAUGAAGACGACGAUGAGACAGAAUUUGAUAGGGACCAAGUAUUAAACUCUUGCCCUGGAUUCUUGAAUAAGUGGGGAACGCCCUUCCACGUGGCCUUCAGUAGACAAGUUCUCCUUUACCCUAUUGAAACUGACAUCUGACCG